AACGAACGCUGGCGGCAUGCCUAACACAUGCAAGUCGAACGAGACCUUCGGGUCUAGUGGCGCACGGGUGCGUAACGCGUGGGAAUCUGCCCUUAGGUUCGGAAUAACUUCGGGAAACUGAAGCUAAUACCGGAUGAUGACGUAAGUCCAAAGAUUUAUCGCCUAAGGAUGAGCCCCGCGUUGGAUUAGCUAGUUGGUGAGGUAAAGGCUCACCAAGGCGACGAUCCAUAGCUGGUCUGAGAGGAUGAUCAGCCACACUGGGACUGAGACACGGCCCAGACUCCUACGGGAGGCAGCAGUGGGGAAUAUUGGACAAUGGGCGAAAGCCUGAUCCAGCAAUGCCGCGUGAGUGAUGAAGGCCUUAGGGUUGUAAAGCUUUUUUACCCGGGAUGAUAAUGACAGUACCGGGAGAAUAAGCUCCGGCUAACUCCGUGCCAGCAGCCGCGGUAAU
rnacentral:rRNA from 1 species